rnacentral:rRNA from 1 species
UAGCUUGCUACUUUGCCGGCGAGCGGCGGACGGGUGAGUAAUGUCUGGGAAACUGCCUGAUGGAGGGGGAUAACUACUGGAAACGGUAGCUAAUACCGCAUGACCUCGUAAGAGCAAAGUGGGGACCUUCGGGCCUCACGCCAUCGGAUGUGCCCAGAUGGGAUUAGCUAGUAGGUGAGGUAAUGGCUCACCUAGGCGACGAUCCCUAGCUGGUCUGAGAGGAUGACCAGCCACACUGGAACUGAGACACGGUCCAGACUCC